AAUGAGGAAGAGAGAGAGCUUUAAUCAGAGAAAGAAAGCAAUUGAAGGCCACACAGCUAUAAUCAGAGAAAGAGAGAAGAUGACAGAGGCAAAAAAGAGGCAGGAGAUGGCAGAAGAGGAAAGAAGGAAGAUUGAGAAUUACAAGAGGGGUGAGUUAGAGAAGCCUGAAGAGGAGGAGAAGAACCCUGAAGAGAAGGAGGACGACAAGGAGGACCUCUCCCCAGCCAAUAAAAGUAUCAGAAGGAAAGCACUGGGUGAAUAGGAAGUGGGAGAAGAGGAACCUCAAAAAGACAGAGAAUGUAUCAGAGAGAGGAGGAGGGCUAUGAGAUCAUCAACAUAGGCCGGUGGUAGCUGGUCCGCUGCAGGAAAAUGAGGUACGGGAGGUCCCUCCACCCCCCUGGACAUCGGGGGCCCCCGGCGUACACAGUCCGGUCCAUCUUGGACUCCAGACGCCGGGCGAGGGGCCUGCAGUACCUCGUGGACUGG
rnacentral:lncRNA from 1 species